rnacentral:tRNA from 13 species
GGCUUAGCUCAAUUGGUAGAGCAACUGACUUGUAAUCAGUAGGUUGAGGGUUCAAGUCCUUUAGCCGG